CAUAUGCUGUAAGUUUUAUUAGUAACACAAACUACAGUGCUAUAAUAGACUGAAGCGUUUAUGCAUCAUAUUAUGACAAACUGACAGAAAUGAUGAAGGACCACAACACAAGAGCUGUUGGGCACCAACAACAACUGUGGGCCAGUGUGGAAGCAAAUCCUGUAGGUCUGUGGAAGGAAAUUAAAGGAAAGGAAGCCAAGAGGCAAAAGGACGUGUAUGAUAUUUCCUGCUGAUAUUAAAUGAUGUCAUAUGGAA